CACCAUGUCACUCUGCACAUGAAAUGUGCUGCCCUGCAUGACUUCAGGUGCAACUAGUCUUUUCAAGGGCAUUAUAUUGCAUAUGCAGGUUCAUAGUCAGCUUCACUUGAAUAGUUGUUUUAUUUUUGGGUGGCAUUGAUUUUUUUAUUGCUGUUUGUGUGUUUUAUUUGCUGUGUUGCCGUAUUUUCUUUUUUAAAUUUAUAUCUUAUUGUGUUUCACCACAUUGAGGGCAUGCUGUUUUCCUGUGUGUUUCCUCGAAUACAAAUAAAGUCUCUUCUCCAUGUUGUAUUUAUUUCUAUUCCAAAUGAUCCGGUUGCUUUGCAUAUGAAAUGUUCUACCCUGCUUAACUUCAGCUGCUACUUGUCCAUGGAGGUGCAUCAUAUUUCAUGUGCAGGAUCGCAGUCCACUUCAGGUUUAUGUGGGUUUUUUGCUGUUGAU